rnacentral:pre_miRNA from 1 species
AAUAAGAUCAUUUUUUAGUUUUUUAUAUAAUAUUUUGACUCUUCAUCUUAUUUAAAAUUUUCUGUGAUUAAUAUUUUUAUUCUUACUAGAUGAUAAAACAUGAAUAGUAUUUUAUGCGUGACUAAAUUUUUUAAGUUUUUUACAAAUUAUUUAAAUAAGACGAAUGGUCAAACGUUUGAUAUGAAAAAAC